rnacentral:lncRNA from 1 species
UAUCACCAACAUAAUAUAUAUUACGAUAAAAGAAAAAUAAACAAACACGACAGCGGUUUCAAUGGAAGAAGUACUAAGCACUUAAUUCUCCUUUAUCACUAAUAACAUCAUUAGACAUUAUGGAUUAUUCAUAUUCGAUAACACUCUUGGAGGGACGUACAAACAUUUGUAUAAUACUAGGUAAGAGCAGCGAUUUCCACAUUGGAGAGUGCGAGGAAAACUAUAAACCUCAGUACAGUUAGAUCAAUCUGAAAUUGCAUUAAAAUGAUGUUCUUCGUUUCUUCAUAAACCUUCUUUCUUACUCAAAGAGAACGACACAGGACUGUGAAUUCAUACUUCCAAUGUAUGAAGCCAAGUUAUGAGAACCAUAACAAAUGACUUAUAGGCUCUUUCAACUAAUUUUUAGGUGUAUUUUUCUUGAUGAUACUAUACCAUUAAAUACCAUAAUUAUUUAUUACAAACGUAGUUAAAUAUUCAAAUGUCAUAGUAUCAUCAAGAAAAAUACACCUAUAAGAUAAUUACCAUUAAAUACCAGAAUUAUUUAUUACAAACGUAGUUAAAUAUUCAAAUGUCAAUUAUCUUAUUUAAUUUAUGCGAAAGCCUGUCAAGUGCUGGUCACAAUAUACGAUUGGAAGUCUAAAACAAGGGAAGAAUUUGUUAAAAUUUUUACCAAUAAAAGUACAAUUAAUAAAGUUUAUGCUCAAAUGUA